CCCAAAUGACUGUUGGGUUCGAAAUCGAGAGGGCGUCAUGCGAAAGCUUAAAGUUUGCAAAUCAUAAGACGAUAAAUCAGACGGCAAAGAAAACAAUACUAAAACAUAUAAAAUUAUUAUAUGUUUUGGCCAAUCGGCCUACAUAUUAUAAAACCUAAUAUCAAAAAACAUUAAACCUAUUGGGAGAAAUCUCCCCCUAAACAAAGACUCUUUAAUGACUACAUUGUGGAUGUUAUUGUGUUAUGUUAUAAGAAUGGGGUCUUCUAUUUAUAGAUGUACAAAACCUUUCCUAUAAGAAAGAGAUUUGUCAAAUAUGAAAAAGUUUUAUAUUUUUCUUUCAGGAAAAGUAAAAGUAUUUAUGAUUACUUUUAUUUUCCUUACAGAAAAAAGUAAAACUUAAAUUUGGUAAGAAAAUUGGGGCAAAAAUCCUAACAAAUCUCUCCUUUUUGGCUUGAUUUUCUUGACUUGAUCCGCCUUCUUCAUGUCAUAUGCAUAAUUUUAGUUCUUCACAUAAUCUUCAUUUAUCUCUGUUGUUUGUCAUGCUUAAAAAUUGAGCCCUUUUGGGUUAAAAAUAUAUUAUCCCUUUUGGGUUAAAAAUAUUGGAGCCCUAAAUAGGGUUAAAAGAGAGCUUUAUUUUCAAAGAUGUGACAGCAGGAUUGUUGAAAAUAUGAUUGAAAUAUCUUCUCCACAUGUAGUUGAAUAAAAUCUUCAUUAUCAUCCAAUUGAUUGCAAAUUGAUUAGAACUGCCUUGGACUUGUCUUCAACCUCGCUUUACCAAACCACUAGAUCUUUGAACCAUAGGCUCUGAUACAACUUGUUGGGUUCGAAAUCGAGAGGGCGUCAUGCAGAAGCUUAAAGUUUGCAAACCAUAAGAUGAUAAAUCAGAAGACUAAGAAAACAAUACUAAAAAUUAUAAAAUUAUUAUAUGUUUUGACCAAUCGGCCUACAUAUUAUAAAACCUAAUAUCGAAAAACAUUAAACCUACUGGAAGAAAUCUCCCCCUAAACAAAGACUCUUUAAUGACUACAUUGU
rnacentral:lncRNA from 1 species